rfam:Schistosoma rodhaini strain Burundi genome assembly, scaffold: SROB_scaffold0001000
UUUUAAUCCUUUGGCGGCACACUAAGAUUGUAGCAAUACAGAGAGGACUAGUAUGGCUUCUGCUCAAGGAUGACAUGGGGAAUUAUGAAGCGUCUCUCGUAUCG